rnacentral:rRNA from 1 species
GAUGAACGCUGGCGGCGUGCCUAAUACAUACAAGUCGAGCGAAUGGAUUAAGAGCUUGCUCUUAUGAAGUUAGCGGCGGACGGGUGAGUAACACGUGGGUAACCUGCCCAUAAGACUGGGAUAACUCCGGGAAACCGGGGCUAAUACCGGAUAACAUUUUGAACCGCAUGGUUCGAAAUUGAAAGGCGGCUUCGGCUGUCACUUAUGGAUGGACCCGCGUCGCAUUAGCUAGUUGGUGAGGUAACGGCUCACCAAGGCAACGAUGCGUAGCCGGCCUGAGAGGGUGAUCGGCCACACUGGGACUGAGACACGGCCCAGACUCCUACGGGAGGCAGCAGUAGGGAAUCUUCCGCAAUGGACGAAAGUCUGACGGAGCAACGCCGCGUGAGUGAUGAAGGCUUUCGGGUCGUAAAACUCUGUUGUUAGGGAAGAACAAGUGCUAGUUGAAUAAGCUGACACCUUGACGGUACCUAACCAGAAAGCCACGGCUAGCUACGUGCCAGCCGCCGCGGUAA